rnacentral:rRNA from 1 species
ACAUGCAAGUCGUACGCGAACGAACUUUCGGGGUUAAGUAGAGUGGCGAACGGGUUAGUAACGCGUGGGAACAUACACAGCACAGGGGGAUAACCAUUGGAAACGAUGGCUAAUACCGCAUACGCCCUAUUGGGGAAAGAUUUAUCGGUGUUGGAUUGGCCCGCGUUAGAUUAGCUAGUUGGUGGGGUAAUGGCUCACCAAGGCGACGAUUUAUAGCUGGUUUGAGAGGAUGAUCAGCAACACUGGAACUGAGACACGGUCCAGACUCCUACGGGAGGCAGCAGUCGGGAAUAUUGUGCAAUGGGGGCAACCCUGACACAGCCAUGCCGCGUGAGUGAAGAAGGCCUUAGGGUUGUAAAGCUCUUUCAGAUGUGAGGAUGAUGACGAUAGCAUCAGAAGAAGCUCCGGCUAACUUCGUGCCAGCAGCCGCGGUAAUACGAAGGGAGCUAGCGUUGUUCGGAAUUACUGGGCGUAAAGGGCGUGUAGGCGGAUUAUCAAGUUAGGGGUGAAAUCCCGGGGCUCAACCUCGGCACUGCCUUUAAGACUGAUAAUCUAGAGUAUGUGAGGGGAUAAUGGAAUACCUAGUGUAGAGGUGAAAUUCGU